UACGUAGGGGGCAAGCGUUGUUCGGAAUUACUGGGCGUAAAGGGCUCGUAGGUGGCCAACUAAGUCAUACGUGAAAUCCCUCGGCUUAACCGGGGAACUGCGUCUGAUACUGGAUGGCUUGAGGUUGGGAGAGGGAUGCGGAAUUCCAGGUGUAGCGGUGAAAUGCGUAGAUAUCUGGAGGAACACCGGUGGCGAAGGCGGCAUCCUGGACCAAUUCUGACACUGAGGAGCGAAAGCCAGGGGAGCAAACAGG
rnacentral:rRNA from 1 species